CAUUUUGAUUCUCUCUUCUCCUCCUCCUCCUCACAUAGUUCCUGGCAGGGCAUGCAGAAACAGAGUGGCAAAUAAUCACGUUUAAACUUUGACGGAGAGAUGAAACCAGUUACACGUCAGAUGAGUUCUCAAGCUCUGCUGGACUAAAAGGCGGAACUCAUGACCUAUGCCCAAGUCCUGCAAAGACAUGCUUAUCUUUGGAGAAGUCCUUUUGAUGUCAGUGGGACUAUUCAUCGAGUGUAAAGUUAACCACAUGCUUAUGCCUCUGGAGAAUCAAGGCCUGGGUGAAAGAUUUCCUGGUGGAAUUUCUGUCCUUCCUGCUCAGAAAGGACACAUUGUAAGAACAGUCUCUCUCGUGUCAUUGAGGGAUGUCCACUUCUGAUCCCAGCUAGUACCCAGACGCAUGAAAGAAGGGGGAAAAGAGCAAUUAAAGGCAAUGUUAAGCUAAUGUUUACAAAUCUAGAAAUGGCUGAGUUUGGUUCUGGUUCUGGGCACAGGUUUGGAUCAGUUCUUCUUGUAUCUGGAUACAUUUGUUUACCCCUAAAAGAUGUGCUUAAAACCUAAUUAAAAAAGCAUUUCCAAUCUUCCUCUUCCAUAACCCCUAUAAUUAAUAUACUCACGUGGAAGCACACACAUAUCAGAGCAAAGUUUUAGCUGAUCCAGUGUGGCUCCUUGAAAUCAAUCAAGCUUCGUCAAUUUACAGCAGUUAAGAAUCUGUCCCGUUUUAUCUAAUAUUGAUGACUUCUAUUCUGAAGUAUGUCUUUGCGGUUACCUUGUCAUCCACCCUUGCUUAUCAGUUUUUGCCAUUUAUCCUUUCAUUCUCUGGGGCAGGGACUGUCUUUGCAUGAUUGGUCUAUACAACAACUAGCUUAAUGGGACCUUGAUUCCUAGCUGGGGCCUUAGGAGCUACCCCAGGGUAAAUAAAAUAUUUCUAUCUAUUAACAGAUAGGCCUGAGCAUGAAAUUUGAAUCCAGGGGAAUUGGUUUGGCCCACUACAAAGCUAGGAAGAAGCUGCAAAGUUCAAAUCCAGCUCUACAUGCCAUUGACGCACAGUGCAGCUCUCCUCGUUUGUGCAGAGCGGUGUAUUGCAAGAAGGGGUUAAAAUAAUCUUGGCAAAAAUCAGCUGUCUUUUAACCUUGUUGCAAAAUCUAGACAACCCAAGGAUGUUUGCUUUUCUCCCUGAAGGUUAAGUUGUCCUAACAGGUGCUAAUUUUGUGUUUUCUUAUGGAGAUCUGCCCAUAUUAGAAGCAACUCUGUGCAAACAAAAAAGCCAAUUAGAGUGCAAGGGUAUUUUUCAUCCUUCCUAUUUCCAUGUAGUCCCCAGCUAUCUCUAUCAGUCAUGUUAAGCCAUAGACUUAUCCUUUCUUGAGAACUGGUAGACUUGUGCCCUCUUUGGGGAAAAUUGCUCUUCUAAUGUCAUGGGAAAAAUAUUGUCCUGGGGAAGUGGCUGAUCCAUGCUAACUGGGAUUUGUCAUCAGCUUUGGCAAUCUACGGAGCAGGGGUUGAGAUUAAUGGAGCCAAAGACUUUAAGCAAAUAUUGUUGGCGUGCUGUUAAACUGUCAAGAGAGCAAGAAAAAAAGCUCACUCUGCAGCCCGCAACUAAAGAUUUGUAUUCACUGAGCGCGGCAAACCUUGUAUUAGGAAUUCUUUGCAGCUAACUACUUGCCAAAAAGGAAACAACCAGGUGUAACUUAUUGUCCAAGGUUUAUUUGCUGUAUUUUUGUUAGAUUUACAUUUAGAUGGUUGAAUCUGAGCAGGGAAUAGGUCUGCCAAAUCCACUUUUAAAUACACUAUGCUGAAACCUCAGCUGGUGUAAAUCAGCACUGAUCAUUGUCUACAAUGGUUCUACACGGAUUGGCACCUGUUGAGAAUCUGGCCCAGGAUUUCUACAUUUUUUGUAUAGACCAUAAAUAAAAAACAGUGAAAUUCCUGAAAUCCAAAUAGUUGGUAUUUAGUUAUUGCAAAAAUGCCGACAUAAGAGCCAACAUUUUCUCUAUCCAUGUAUUCAGCUAUCUAGCUUGCAAGCUGUAAUAAACCAAAGUUGUACAUCAAUUACACUAUUUUAUGAUUAUUUUAUACUCUUGGCAAAAUACUCAGUGUUAUCUUGAACUCUAUUAAGGCUCAACUGAUUAAAGGUUGAAGUUUUUCGUAAGUUAUUGAUGUUAUUUCUUUUAUUCAAACAUUUUCAUAACAAACUAGCUAUGAUAAUAUUUUUCUUGGCCAGA